rnacentral:rRNA from 1 species
UACGUAGGGGGCAAGCGUUGUCCGGAUUUACUGGGCGUAAAGCGUGCGCAGGCGGUUCGUUGUGUCGGCGGUGAAAGCCCCGGGCUCAACCUGGGAAUGGCCGUUGAAACUGGCGAACUGGAGUGUGGCAGAGGGGGUGGAAUUCCGCGUGUAGCAGUGAAAUGCGUAGAGAUGCGGAGGAACACCGAUGGCGAAGGCAGCCCCCUGGGCUGACACUGACGCUCAGGCACGAAAGCGUGGGGAGCAAACAGG